UGGGGAAUAUUGCACAAUGGAGGGAACUCUGAUGCAGCGACGCCGCGUGAACGAAGAAGGCUUUCGAGUCGUAAAGUUCUUUUAUAUGGGAAGAUAAUGACGGUACCAUAAGAAAAAGCCCCGGCUAACUACGUGCCAGCAGCCGCGGUAAUACGUAGGGGGCUAGCGUUGUCCGGAAUCACUGGGCGUAAAGGGUUCGCAGGCGGAAAUGCAAGUCAGGUGUAAAAGGCAGUAUCUUAACUACUGUAAGCAUUUGAAACUGCAUAUCUUGAGAAGAGUAGAGGUAAGUGGAAUUUUUAGUGUAGCGGUGAAAUGCGUAGAUAUUAAAAAGAAUACCGGUGGCGAAGGCGGCUUACUGGGCUCAUUCUGACGCUGAGGAACGAAAGCGUGGGUAGCAAACAGG
rnacentral:rRNA from 1 species